rnacentral:sRNA from 1 species
CCGCCCGUCACACCAUGAGAGUUGAUAAUACCAGAAGUCGGUAUUCUAACCGCAAGGAGGAAGCCGCCCAAGGUAGGAUUGAUGAUUAGGGUGAAGUCGUAACAAGGUAUCCGUACGAGAACGUGCGGAUGGAUCACCUCCUUUCUAUGGAGUUAUUACUUUAUAGUAAUCUAAUUAGUUUUAAUGACCGUUAUGUUUAGUUUUCGGGGAUUAGUUUCUCUGACAAUAACACGAAAAAUGUUAUUGAAAUUGUUCUUUGAAAACUGGAUAAUAGACAUCUAGUUAUUUUAAUCAUAAGAUUAAAAUAACAAUAAUUCAAAAUUUCUGUUAUUUUAAAAAAAUAACUAAAAUUUCACAGUUAUAUUUGUAAAUGAUUCUCAAAACUGAUUUAAAAUCAGGUCAAAUAAUUAAAUUAAUAAAACUUUGAAGUUACAAAGGGCGUAUGGUGAAUGCCUUGGGAAUAGGAGACGAUGAAGGACGUGACUGCCUGCGAUAAGGUUCGGGGAGCUGGAAGUAAGCUUUGAUCCGAACAUGUCCGAAUGGGGGAACCCGGUGAGAUUAAUCUCUCAUCAUCCUAUAAUGAAUACAUAGUUAUAGUGAAGGUAUACUUAGGGAAUUGAAACAUCUCAGUACCUAGAGGAAAAGAAAGCGAAUGCGAUUCUCUUAGUAGCGGCGAGCGAACGGGGAACAGCCCAAACCAGAUUUAUCUGGGGUUGUAGGACCAUAUGAGUAGAGUUACAAAACUUGUUUAUAGUAGAAAUGGUUGGGAAACCAUGCCACAGAGGGUGAUAGCCCCGUAUAUGAAAUGAACAAGACUCGAAAUGGAAUCCUGAGUACGGCGAGACACGUGAAAUCUUGUCGGAAUCAACGCGGACCACCGCGUAAGGCUAAAUACUACCUAUUCACCGAUAGUGAACCA